rnacentral:lncRNA from 1 species
UGCUGGUGCUGCAGUAGCCUUCACCAGAAAAUUGAAGUAUUAGAGAUCACAAUUCAGUUAUUUUCUUCACUUUAAUGAAAGUGUGUUUGCCCUACUAGAGGUGGUCAAAUUUCAUCAGGAGUCAAGAAGAAUCCCAGAAGGUAAGCUAUGUAGAUAUGACACAGGUUUUUGGAAAUUUUAAGUUAUUAGAGAUUCUCUGA